GGCUGGGAAGAGACAGUGAUGGAUGGUGAUGAUGGUGAAGAAGAUAAAGAUGAUGAUGGUGAAUGGUUGGCUCAGAGAAGAAGAAAGGAGGAGUGACAGGAAGGUGAAAGGGAUGCGGACGCACCAACUAUGCGGGUGCUGCCAAUAGAAGGGGCCAUGUUUGAAAGUG